AGAGUUUGAUCCUGGCUCAGGAUGAACGCUAGCGACAGGCUUAACACAUGCAAGUCGAGGGGCAGCGGGGGCGGAAGCUUGCUUUCGCCCGCCGGCGACCGGCGCACGGGUGAGUAACACGUAUGCAACCUGGCCGCCACAGGGGGAUAACCCGCGGAAACGCGGCCUAAUACCCCGUGACGCCACCGGAGGGCAUCCUCCGGUGGCCAAAGGAGCGAUCCGGUGGCGGAUGGGCAUGCGGCGCAUUAGCUAGACGGCGGGGUGACGGCCCACCGUGGCGACGAUGCGUAGGGGUUCUGAGAGGAAGGCCCCCCACACUGGGACUGAGACACGGCCCAGACUCCUACGGGAGGCAGCAGUGAGGAAUAUUGGUCAAUGGGCGGAAGCCUGAACCAGCCAAGUCGCGUGAGGGAUUAAGGCCCUGCGGGUCGUAAACCUCUUUUGCCGGGGAGCAGUGGUCCGGACGCGUCCGGACCGGGAGAGUACCCGGAGAAAAAGCAUCGGCUAACUCCGUGCCAGCAGCCGCGGUAAUACGGAGGAUGCGAGCGUUAUCCGGAUUUAUUGGGUUUAAAGGGUGCGUAGGCGGGCAUUUAAGCCGGCGGUCAAAUGUCGGGGCUCAACCCCGGCCUGCCGUCGGAACUGGGUGCCUUGAGUGGGCGAGAAGUAUGCGGAAUGCGUGGUGUAGCGGUGAAAUGCAUAGAUAUCACGCAGAACCCCGAUUGCGAAGGCAGCAUACCGGCGCCCUACUGACGCUGAGGCACGAAAGUGCGGGUAUCGAACAGGAUUAGAUACCCUGGUAGUCCGCACAGUAAACGAUGGAUGCUAUCUGUCCGGGCCGAAUGAGGCCUGGGUGGCACAGCGAAAGCGUUAAGCAUCCCACCUGGGGAGUACGCCGGCAACGGUGAAACUCAAAGGAAUUGACGGGGGCCCGCACAAGCGGAGGAACAUGUGGUUUAAUUCGAUGAUACGCGAGGAACCUUACCCGGGCUCAAACGGGAGAUGACGCGGGCAGAGACGCCUGUUUUUUAGGACAUCUUCCGAGGUGCUGCAUGGUUGUCGUCAGCUCGUGCCGUGAGGUGUCGGCUUAAGUGCCAUAACGAGCGCAACCCCUGCCGACAGUUGCUAACGCGUAGCGGCGAGGACUCUGUCGGGACUGCCGGCGCAAGCCGCGAGGAAGGCGGGGAUGACGUCAAAUCAGCACGGCCCUUACGUCCGGGGCGACACACGUGUUACAAUGGGGGGUACAGCGGGAAGCCAGGCGGCGACGCCGAGCGGAACCCGAAAGCCCCUCUCAGUUCGGAUCGGAGUCUGCAACCCGACUCCGUGAAGCUGGAUUCGCUAGUAAUCGCGCAUCAGCCAUGGCGCGGUGAAUACGUUCCCGGGCCUUGUACACACCGCCCGUCA
rnacentral:rRNA from 1 species